UACGGGAGGCAGCAGUGGGGAAUAUUGCACAAUGGGCGCAAGCCUGAUGCAGCCAUGCCGCGUGUAUGAAAAAGGCCUUCGGGUUGUAAAGUACUUUCAGUCGUGAGGAAGGUGUUAAGGUUAAUAACCUUAGCAAUUGACGUUAGCGACAGAAGAAGCACCGGCUAACUCCGUGCCAGCAGCCGCGGUAAUACGGAGGGUGCGAGCGUUAAUCGGAAUUACUGGGCUAAAGGGCACGCAGGCGGUUAAUUAAGUUGGAUGUGAAAUCCCCGGGCUUAACCUGGGAAUGGCAUUCAAGACUGGUUAGCUAGAGUCUUGUAGAGGGGGUAGAAUUCCAUGUGUAGCGGUGAAAUGCGUAGAGAUGUGGAGGAAUACCGGUGGCGAAGGCGGCCCCUGGACAAAGACUGACGCUCAUGUGCGAAAGCUGGGGAGCAAACAGGGAUUAGAUACC
rnacentral:rRNA from 1 species